GCCGAUGUAGCUCAGUUGGCAGAGCACUUGAUUUGUAAUCAGGCGGCCGUGGGUUCGAGUCCCUCCAUCGGCU
rnacentral:tRNA from 2 species